rfam:Sulfitobacter sp. H3 contig1, whole genome shotgun sequence.
UGCCUUCGGCGCAUCAUCUUCAUACCUCCCUGUUGGACUUGGCCGAGCUUCGUGCUCGGCCUUUUUU